GGUGUCUUGCAAAGUAUGUUUUUUUUUUCUUCCAGAGGAAAGACAAUGAGACCGUAAAGCUGGUGUCUACUGAAAAACCCGUGAUGAAUGCUGUGGCAGGACGGUCCGUACCUAUUUAUUGCCCGCGUUAUGACACAAACAACCCAGGAGGGGGCGCCGAGAACAAAAAGAAA